rnacentral:piRNA from 1 species
UCAUUGACUAAUUGUUUAAGA